CUGUGGGAUGCUACUGUUAAUUUGUUGCUUUUGGUUGGUGGCUGUGUUUUGUCUAGUGGAUAGCCAACCAGUGAGGACCAGUAAUGGUAAUGGUUUUAAUGGUUUACCAGCUGAUGGUUUGUAAUGGUAUUCGUAGUGGAAACCGUUAGAAUUUCUGUGAUGGGUUCUGUUGUUGUUGUUGGGGUUUUUUUUUUUUUCCAGCAGGGUUGUCAGAUUGGGGGAGGGAGUCAGUUAUCGUGCACCUGGCAACGCUGUACGGCGCGCCGCGAGGCUCAAAACCUCCUCCGUGCUUCACAAAAAGCGCAACGCGUUCCUCUCUCGGCUGUCAGUCUGCACAUCCCAGCUCAGAGAGCCGGCUCUGGGAUCCAAACACGCUGAAGAUCUCAACUCGGGCUUUAUUUCCUUUUCCUUUUCUUUUCUUUCUUUCUGCACCUUGCAGUCUGUCUGGCGCUUUGUAAGGAGAGGAGCGGGUUUGUUCUGAAAGGGAAGUGAGAACAUCUGGAUUGAGGAGCCAUGUCCCGGAGGAAACAGAGUAACCCGCGCCAGUUCAAACGCCUGGGUGCAGUGAACACAGGAGUGUUUGAGAACGGACAAACAGAGCUGGAGAUCAGAGAAUGCGAAGAGAAAGAGAUCAUGAAAGACAUACAAACGACUGUAGACCAAGAAACACAGUACCCUUUAGAUCCUGAAAACUUCCACAUUAAAAACGAGGACGAUUCCAGCGCAGGGGAUGUGGCUGGAAGUCAGGAAGCACAGAAAGAAGACAGUGAAGAACAUAACGGGAAAAACCUGAACAGCCCGACUGCCUCCGAGGAGUGGGACGGCCCGAGUAAGUUCUCUUUCCAUCCCAGCUGAGGUUUUGCUGCACUGUCGAUGUUUCGUUUAAUUAAAAGGCUUUGUGAACGUGAACGUCCUCACCAUGUCUGUAGAAUUUAUGCAAUGAAGCCUGGUGGAAAUGAUCAUCAAUGCAGCUUCUUACACACACUCAGUGCUUAUGCAGAACGUAGGACAGGACUAACGCACACACACACACACACACACACAC
ensembl:lncRNA